GCCAGCGACUAUAACACGUUGAAAGCACCGGUUCUCGUCCGAUCAACGCAGUUAAGCAACGUUGGGCCCCUUCAGUACUUGGGAGAAGUGAUCAGUGUAUGAC
rnacentral:rRNA from 1 species